rnacentral:misc_RNA from 1 species
GAUGAAGAACGUAGCGAAAUGCGAUACUUGGUGUGAAUUGCAGAAUCCCGUGAACCAUCGAGUCUUUGAACGCAAGUUGCGCCUCAAGCCAUUAGGUUGAGGGCACGUCUGCCUGGGCGUCACAUAUCGUUGCCUGAUGCCAGUUUCCUCGUGAUGGGUGACUGUGCAGGGCGAAUGAUGGCUUCCCGUGAGCAUUGUUGCCUCAUGGUUGGUUGAAAAUUGAGUCCUUGGUAGGGAGCGCCGUGAUAGAUGGUGGUUGAGUGACGAACGAGACCCAAUCAUGUGAGACCCCUACCGAAUUUGGCCUUCAUGACCCACAUGCGUCUUUGGAACGCUCAUGACGAGACCUCAGGUCAGGCGGGGCUACCCGCUGAGUUUAAGCAUGUCAUAAGCGGAGGA